rnacentral:misc_RNA from 1 species
UCCGGCUUAUCACCGGCAGUCGCCUUAGAGUGCCCAACUAAAUGAUGGCAACUAACGACAAGGGUUGCGCUCGUUGCGGGACUUAACCCAACAUCUCACGACACGAGCUGACGACAACCAUGCAGCACCUCUGCUGGCUCCCUUGCGGGUCAGCCUCUGUUUCCAAAGGCUUACUACCAGUAGUUCAAGCCCAGGUAAGGUUCUUCGCGUUGCGUCGAAUUAAACCACAUGCUCCACCGCUUGUGCGGGCCCCCGUCAAUUCCUUUGAGUUUUAACCUUGCGGCCGUACUCCCCAGGCGGAUAACUUAAUGCGUUAGCUGCGCCACCGAAAGCCUAAGGCCCCCGACAGCUAGUUAUCAUCGUUUACGGCGUGGACUAC